rnacentral:lncRNA from 1 species
UUUGCAAGUUAAAAUAUGUUUUUAAGUUUUGAUGACAUGUAAAAUUGGUUUACAUUUUUUUUUCCAGAUUUCUGCAAAAAGAAGACUGUCUUGAAAUGACAGUCUCUGAUGAGAGUUUUCAAUAGUUCUUCAAGUGACACAAAGUGCUCCUAUGACAACCUUAGAAACUCCAACCCAUGCAGUUGUUCCUACAUAAGGAAUUUCCUUCUGUUGUGGUUUAACCUGGCGGGCAGGGUACAUCCUUCUCUGUCUCACCAAGCUGCAAAAUAGUAGAUGGAUACCACUGAUCUGAGAAGCUUUUGAAAAAGCAACCAGGCUGGAGGGAGUAAAGACAACAAGAGAAAUGCUGGAAAAAGAAGUCCUCAAGCUGGACCCACUAUUUUCUCUCCAUGACUGACUCUUGUGUGCAUUUUCUGAAGAGCUCUUCAGGCCCCUGUCCUGCAGUGUGGACAGGCGCCCACGGCACUGCCUGCAGUAAUGGACCAGCGGCUCCCACGAACAGGCACGGACCAACCCCUGCAGUCUGGAUUGGUGAUGUGCUCUGGCCACCACUUGUGACAACACCCUGGAGAAGAGAUCUAGUGAGAGGGAGAGCUCAGCUCCUGAGGGAGAAAUUGCUGAUCCUUGAGAGGCAGCUAGAGCAGCAAGUUUUUUUUUCUGCUGAUAAACCACUGAUGGAGAAGCCCUCUCUUCUCCGCUUCCUGUCUCAACUGCUGUCAUUUCAUUUACAAAAGCUUGUCCCUGUCCCUAUCAGCAUUUAUUUGAGUACAUCUCUGCUGCGCCUGAGUGAUUUAUCUAAACAUCGGCAGCUACUGUAAGUGAUGGAACAGCGAAGCAGCGGCAGAGGAGGGAGUGGAGAGGUUGAAAUGUGACUUCCCUCUUGUGAAAUCAAGCACAGGUGACUAUUCCCAGCAACUCCAGUGUAUUUACAUCAGUCACAGGCAGAGAGAAAAAAAGAGGGCAUUUCAGAGCCUGCUCAGACAUUUGAGACCAUUUAAUUAACCAAAUUAAAAUAUUUCCC